rnacentral:rRNA from 1 species
AGAGUUUGAUCCUGGCUCAGAAUCAACGCUGGCGGCGCGCCUAACACAUGCAAGUCGAACGAGAAAGUCCCGCAAGGGAUGAGUAAAGUGGCGUACGGGUGAGUAACACGUAGCUAACCUACCCUCGAGUGGGGGAUAACCUGGGGAAACUCGGGCUAAUACCGCAUAAGAUCCGGGCUGCAUCAGUAGUCUGGAGCAAGGGUCCGCAAGGAUCGCUUGAGGAGGGGGCUGCGGCCGAUUAGCUAGUUGGUGAGGUAACGGCCCACCAAGGCGACGAUCGGUAGCCGGCCUGAAAGGGCGCACGGCCACACUGGCACUGAAACACGGGACAGACUCCUACGGGAGGCAGCAGUGGGGAAUUUUGCACAAUGCCCGAAAGGGUGAUGCGGCAACGCCGCGUGAGGGAUGAAGGUCUUCGGAUCGUAAACCUCUUUCGACCGGGAAAAAUGUGCGGGUGAACAGCCCGUUCUGAUGGUACCGGUGGAAGAAGCCCCGGCUAACUACGUGCCAGCAGCCGCGGUAAUACGUAGGGGGCGAGCGUUGUUCGGAAUUACUGGGCGUAAAGGGCGUGUAGGCGGUGCGGUAAGUCGGGCGUGAAAUCCCCAGGCUCAACCUGGGGCGGUCGCUCGGGACUGCCGUGCUCGAGUAUGGGAUAGGGAAGUGUAAUUCCCGGUGUAGCGGUGAAAUGCGUAGAUAUCCGGAGGAACACCUGCGGCGAAUGCGGCUUCCUGGACCAUAACUGACGCUGAGGCGCGAAGCUAGGGGAGUAAACACGAUGAGAUACCCU